rnacentral:tRNA from 1 species
GGGCCUGUAGUGUAGCUUGGAUAUCACUGAGGCCUCCGGAGCCUCAAACUCGGGUUCGAAUGGGACUUGCAGGUCCC